GAUGAACGCUGGCGGCGUGCCUAAUACAUGCAAGUCGAGCGAACAGACGAGGAGCUUGCUCCUCUGACGUUAGCGGCGGACGGGUGAGUAACACGUGGAUAACCUACCUAUAAGACUGGGAUAACUUCGGGAAACCGGAGCUAAUACCGGAUAAUAUAUUGAACCGCAUGGUUCAAUAGUGAAAUACGGUUUUGCUGUCACUUAUAGAUGGAUCCGCGCCGCAUUAGCUAGUUGGUAAGGUAACGGCUUACCAAGGCAACGAUGCGUAGCCGACCUGAGAGGGUGAUCGGCCACACUGGAACUGAGACACGGUCCAGACUCCUACGGGAGGCAGCAGUAGGGACUCUUCCGCAAUGGGCGAAAGCCUGACGGAGCAACGCCGCGUGAGUGAUGAAGGUCUUCGGAUCGUAAAACUCUGUUAUUAGGGAAGAACAAAUGUGUAAGUAACUAUGCACGUCUUGACGGUACCUACUCAGAAAGCCACGGCUAACUACGU
rnacentral:rRNA from 1 species